rnacentral:sRNA from 1 species
UAUCUCUCUGUACAGGGAAGGAUGAGAAGCUUCGAUUAAGGUUCGACUCGAGCGGAAGCGAGAGAACGUUGCCAACGGCAACGGCCCGAA